rnacentral:rRNA from 1 species
AGUGAACGCUGGCGGUAGGCCUAACACAUGCAAGUCGAACGGCAGCACAGUAAGAUCUUGCUCUUACGGGGUGCGAGUGGCGUACGUGUGAGGAAUACAUCGGAAUCUACUUUUUCGUGGGGGAUAACGUAGGGAAACUUACUCUAAUACCGCAUACGACCUACGGUUGAAAGCAGGGGAUCUUCGGACCUUGCUCGAUUGAAUGAGCCGAUGUCGGAUUAGCUAGUUGGCGUGGUAAAGGCCCACCAAGGCGACGAUCCGUAUCUGGUCUGAGAGGAUGAUCAGCCACACUGGAACUGAGACACGGUCAAGACUCCUACGGGAGGAAGCAGUGGGGAAUAUUGGACAAUGGGGGAAAGCCUGACCCAGCAAUACCGCGUGGGUGAAGAAGGCCUUCGGGUUGUAAAGCCCGUUUGUUGGGAAAGAAAAGCAGCAGGUUAAUACCCCGAUGUUCUGACGGUACCCAAAGAAUAAGCAACGGCUAACUUCGUG